GACAGAGGCCCCGAGCGUUAGGCGGAAUCACUGGGCUUAAAGCGUGUGUAGGCGGAUCGUUAAGUGUCUUGUGAAAUCCCACGGCUCACCCGUGGAACUGCUGGGCAUACUGGCGAUCUUGGGCCGUUCAGGGGCGACUGGAACAAGCGGUGGAGCGGUGAAAUGCGUAGAUAUCACUUGGAACGCCAAAGGUGAAAACAGUCUGCUGGGGACUUGCUGACGCUGAGACACGAAAGCCAGGGGAGCGAACGGG
rnacentral:rRNA from 1 species